CCUACGGGCGGCAGCAGUGAGGAAUAUUGGUCAAUGGACGCAAGUCUGAACCAGCCAAGCCGCGUGAAGGAAGACGGCUCUACGAGUUGUAAACUUCUUUUGUACGAGGGUAAAAUCAGGCACGCGUGCCUGUCUGAAAGUACUUUACGAAUAAGGAUCGGCUAACUCCGUGCCAGCAGCCGCGGUAAUACGGAGGAUUCUAGCGUUAUCCGGAUUUAUUGGGUUUAAAGGGUGCGUAGGCGGGCGGGUAAGUCAGGUGUGAAAUCCCGGGGCUCAACCGCGGCAUUGCCUGUGAUACUGGCCGUCUAGAGAGUAGUUGAGGUAGGCGGAAUGCGUGGUGUAGCGGUGAAAUGCUUAGAUAUUGCGCAGAACUCCGAUUGCGAAGGCAGCAUACCAAGCUACAUCUGACGUUGAGGCACGAAAGCGUGGGGAGCAAACAGGAUUAGAUACCCCGGUAGUC
rnacentral:rRNA from 1 species